rnacentral:rRNA from 1 species
AUUGAACGCUGGCGGCAGGCCUAACACAUGCAAGUCGAACGGUAACAGGAAGCAGCUUGCUGCUUCGCUGACGAGUGGCGGACGGGUGAGUAAUGUCUGGGAAACUGCCCGAUGGAGGGGGAUAACUACUGGAAACGGUAGCUAAUACCGCAUAACGUCGCAAGACCAAAGAGGGGGACCUUCGGGCCUCUUGCCAUCGGAUGUGCCCAGAUGGGAUUAGCUUGUUGGUGAGGUAACGGCUGACCAAGGCGACGACCCCUAGCUGGACUGAGAGGAUGACCAGCAACAAUGGAACUGAGACCCUGUCCAGACUCCGACGGGAGGAAGCAGUGGGGAAUAUUGCACAAUGGGCGCAAGCCUGAUGCAGCCAUGCCGCGUGUAUGAAGAAGGCCUUCGGGUUGUAAAGUACUUUCAGCGGGGAGGAAGGGGAUGUGGUUAAUAACCGCAUUCAUUGACGUUACCCGCAGAAGAAGCACCGGCUAACUCCGUGCCAGCCGCCGCAGUAAGAC